UACCCGGUGGUGUAAUCGGUAGCACUGAAGAUUUUGAUUCUUCCAGUUCUGGUUCGAGUCCAGGCCGGGUAACCA
rnacentral:tRNA from 1 species